AACUGGCAGCGAAAAUACUUCUUGGUGAUGUGUACAAAGAUUUAAUUGUGAAAAAGGGAUGAUUUCAAGAAGAGAGAAGACAUACGGAUGACCAGUAAAGGAACAAAGCAAAAAAAUAAAUAAAAAAUGGCUGUUAAGGUUGCAAGUACUUCUCAAAGUUCAGCUAUGUUUGCAAUGGGGAAACAACUUAAAAGAGACCUCAAGAAGCGAUACAAAGAAAAAAAAAAAAAAGCUCCUGUAAUCUGAGAUUGACUUGUUUCAAAACACAGAGUUGAGAAGAUCAAGGAAAA